UGGGGAAUAUUGCACAAUGGGCGCAAGCCUGAUGCAGCCAUGCCGCGUGUAUGAAGAAGGCCUUCGGGUUGUAAAGUACUUUCAGCGAGGAGGAUGGCGUUGUGGUUAAUAACCGCAACGAUUGACGUUACUCGCAGAAGAAGCACCGGCUAACUCCGUGCCAGCAGCCGCGGUAAUACGGAGGGUGCAAGCGUUAAUCGGAAUUACUGGGCGUAAAGCGCACGCAGGCGGUCUGUCAAGUCGGAUGUGAAAUCCCCGGGCUCAACCUGGGAACUGCAUCCGAAACUGGCAGGCUAGAGUCUUGUAGAGGGGGGUAGAAUUCCAGGUGUAGCGGUGAAAUGCGUAGAGAUCUGGAGGAAUACCGGUGGCGAAGGCGGCCCCCUGGACAAAGACUGACGCUCAGGUGCGAAAGCGUGGGGAGCAAACA
rnacentral:rRNA from 1 species